rnacentral:lncRNA from 1 species
AGAAGCGCGUUGGUUGCCCAGGGGAUUCAUAUAAACGGAAUUUGUUUUAAUGUGAAAGAAAUGUAGAAGUCUAGAUCCUCCGCUUCAGGGCAGAAGCGUUUUUGAAAGAGCGUAAUUCGUUUCCCGAGAGACUUCUUUUUCCUUCUUUUUCUUCUCCUUCCUGGGAAUGUAAUGCCAAUUAACCCUUCUUUAACUUUACUCCUUCAGCCCAAAGUCGGGGAACAGGGAGAGAACUCGGUCCCGCUGCUUGUUGUUGCCGUGGACUGAGCAGCUUCCGGCAGCGACCUAACCUCGGAUUUCCCAAAGAACUAAGACCACCGGCUUGUGUCCACCAGGGAAGUUUCCCUUCUGUUUCGCAAGCAUCUCUAACGCCAACAGAAAGUAUCCAAUGGUUUCAUUUAACACUUCAAAUAUUGGCCACCUGCCUCGCGUCAGAACAGGCUAGUGUUGUGAGGGAAAAACAGAAAAAAAAAAAAAAGUCAUCCUUUCCCAAUUACAUUUCCCUCCUUAGUCCACCAAUAUUAAAAAUUGGAAAUGGUUCCCCAAA